GGUGCUUGCACCAAAUGAAACUAGAUACAAGCGAGCGGCGGACGGGUGAGUAACACGUGGGUAACCUGCCCAAGAGACUGGGAUAACACCUGGAAACAGAUGCUAAUACCGGAUAACAACACUAGACGCAUGUCUAGAGUUUAAAAGAUGGUUCUGCUAUCACUCUUGGAUGGACCUGCGGUGCAUUAGCUAGUUGGUAAGGUAAUGGCUUACCAAGGCAAUGAUGCAUAGCCGAGUUGAGAGACUGAUCGGCCACAUUGGGACUGAGACACGGCCCAAACUCCUACGGGAGGCAGCAGUAGGGAAUCUUCCACAAUGGACGCAAGUCUGAUGGAGCAACGCCGCGUGAGUGAAGAAGGGUUUCGGCUCGUAAAGCUCUGUUGGUAGUGAAGAAAGAUAGAGGUAGUAACUGGCCUUUAUUUGACGGUAAUUACUUAGAAAGUCACGGUUAACUACGUGCCAGCAGCCGCGGUAAUACGUAGGUGGCAAGCGUUGUCCGGAUUUAUUGGGCGUAAAGCGAGUGCAGGCGGUUCAAUAAGUCUGAUGUGAAAGCCUUCGGCUCAACCGGAGAAUUGCAUCAGAAACUGUUGAACUUGAGUGCAGAAGAGGAGAGUGGACUCCAUGUGUAGCGGUGGAAUGCGUAGAUAUAUGGAAGAACACCAGUGGCGAAGGCGGCUCUCUGGUCUGCAACUGACGCUGAGGCUC
rnacentral:rRNA from 1 species